ACACGGGAUGCUCAUACGGCGAGUGAAGCGGCAAAGCUCAAAUUUGAAAUCUGGCACUUUCAGUGUCCGAGUUGUAAUUUGUAGAAGUAGUUUUGGGGCUGGUCCUUGUCUAUGUUCCUUGGAACAGGACGUCAUAGAGGGUGAGAAUCCCGUGUGGCGAGGAUCCCAGUUCUUUGUAAAACGCUUUCGAAGAGUCGAGUUGUUUGGGAAUGCAGCUCUAAGUGGGUGGUAAAUUCCAUCUAAAGCUAAAUAUUGGCGAGAGACCGAUAGCGAACAAGUACAGUGAUGGAAAGAUGAAAAGAACUUUGAAAAGAGAGUGAAAAAGUACGUGAAAUUGUUGAAAGGGAAGGGCAUUUGAUCAGACAUGGUGUUUGGACGCCCUGCGCUCCUUGUGGGUGCAGGACACGCUUUUCACUGGGCCAACAUCGGUUUUGGCAGCAGGAUAAAUCGUUAGGAACGUAGCUGCCCUCGGGUAGUGUUACAGCCUGGCGGAAUACUGCUAGCCGGGACUGAGGACUGCGUCUUUGAGCAAGGAUUUGGCAUAAUGUAUCG
rnacentral:rRNA from 1 species